rnacentral:rRNA from 1 species
GACGAACGCUGGCGGCGUGCUUAACACAUGCAAGUCGAACGAUGAAGCCGGAGCUUGCUCUGGUGAAUUAGUGGCGAACGGGUGAGUAACACGUGAGUAACCUGCCCUUGACUCUGGGAUAACUGCUAGAAAUGGUAGCUAAUACCGGAUACGACCCUCGGAGGCAUCUCCAGGGGGUGGAAAGAAUUUCGGUCAAGGAUGGACUCGCGGCCUAUCAGCUAGUUGGUGAGGGAACGGCUCACCAAGGCGACGACGGGUAGCCGGCCUGAGAGGGCGACCGGCCACACUGGGACUGAGACACGGCCCAGACUCCUACGGGAGGCAGCAGUGGGGAAUAUUGCACAAUGGGCGCAAGCCUGAUGCAGCAACGCCGCGUGAGGGAUGACGGCCUUCGGGUUGUAAACCUCUUUUAGUAGGGAAGAAGCGAAAGUGACGGUACCUGCAGAAAAAGCACCGGCUAACUACGUGCCAGCCGCCGCCGCCG